rnacentral:rRNA from 1 species
GACGAACCACACAAACGUUAUUCGGAAUUACUGGGCUUAAAGGGUGCGUAGGCGGCGCGGAAAGUAGGGUGUGAAAUCCCUCAGCUCAACUGAGGAACUGCGCUCUAAACUACCGUGCUUGAGGGAGAUAGAGGUGAGCGGAACUUAGGGUGGAGCGGUGAAAUGCGUUGAUAUCCUAAGGAACACCGGUGGCGAAAGCGCUCUGCUAGGCCGCAACUGACACUGAGGGACGAAAGCUAGGGGAGCGAAUGGG